rnacentral:rRNA from 1 species
UGCCAGCCGCCGCGGUAAUACGGAGGUUCCAAGCGUUGUUCGGAAUUACUGGGCGUAAAGGGAGCGCAGGCGGAUAGGUCAGUUCAAAGUGGAAUCCCAGGGCUCAACCCUGGAAGUGCUUUGGAUACUGCCUGUCUUGAGUUCGUGAGAGGAAAGUGGAAUUCAGGGUGUAGCGGUGAAAUGCUUAGAUAUCCUGAGGAACACCAGUGGCGAAAGCGACUUUCUGGCACGAAACUGACGCUGAGGCUCGAAAGCGUGGGUAGCGAACGGGAUUAGAUA